GGCGUCCGCGUUGUAAGCUCGAGAGCUGUAGUCCGUGCCGGACCGCGUACAAGUCCCUUGGAAUGGGGCAUCGUAGAGGGUGAGAAUCCCGUACUUGACGCGGAAGCCGGUGCUUUGUGAUGCGGCCUCGACGAGUCGAGUUGUUUGGGAAUGCAGCUCCAAAUGGGUGGUAAAUUCCAUCUAAAGCUAAAUAUUGGGGAGAGACCGAUAGCGAACAAGUACCGUGAGGGAAAGAUGAAAAGCACUUCGUUAGGAGGGUUAAACAGUAUGUGAAAUUGUCAGCGCGGAAGGUUACGUCGUCAGUCAUGCUUUGUGGGAUUCAGCCUCGCCUUGUGCUUGGUGUACUUCCUGCAGUUUGGCAGGUCAGCAUCGAUUUUGUGGGCCGGAUAAGGGCGUYGGGAAUGUGAUGCACGUUUUACGACGGCGCAUGUUUAUAGCCCGACGCUGGAUACGGCCCGUGGGAUCGAGGAACGCAGUCUCUCGCUUACACAAUCGUCGAGACUUUGGAUGCUGGCGUAAUGGCGACGUGACACCCGUCUUGAAACACGGACCAAGGAGUCUAGGACAUGUGCGAGUCUUUGGGUGGCAAACCCGUGGGCGCAAUGAAAGUGAAUGGAGGUGGGAUCCGCAAGGAGCACCAUCGACCGAUCCGGAAGAAUUUCGGAAGGAUUUGAGUAAGAGCACGUGUCCUGGGACCCGAAAGAUGGUGAACUAUGCCUGAAUAGGGCGAAGCCAGAGGAAACUCUGGUGGAGGCUCGUAGCGG
rnacentral:rRNA from 1 species